GGUUAAAUCAAAUAAUAGAACUUGAGUGACAAAGACACACCACCCAGAUUAUAACAUGUUGAAAUUAAAUUGCAUAAUUGCUGUGGAAAUUAGGAAACAUGGAGAAUCUGAAGCACACAAGGAACCUCUCUCAGCAAACCUACAUUGUCUUUUUGUAAAUCCCCACUUUUGUAUUUAAUUUCCUUCCAACUCCUCACCUACCAAUGAGUUAAGAGUGCUAGACUCACUUCUCCAAAUGGGGUGGUUUCGUUCCCUCUUCUCCCCAUUCAAGAGGCUCUGGAAUCGCCUUCAUUCUCGCCACACGAGAGGAAGAGGAAUAUACAUCCUGUACAAGGAUGUGAAGUCAUGCCCAUGCGAGGAUGUUCAAGUGUUGUGGUCAAUACUGGUGCACUCACAAACCGCUGCUUUGCCUUCGAAACGAAGUGAAGCCUCCAUUUCCCCUGAGUAAACCAUCAUUGUCCAUAACACUCUUCCUUUUCUUUUCCCUUUCCUCUACAUAUAGUACUCACCUGCUUUUUAUUUUAUAUCAUAUCUGUAACUGUAAGGUCUAAUGCUACUCCCAAUCCUUAUAUUCUUAGAACUUUUGAAAUUUAAUCCCUACGCAUUUGUCCAAUUAAUAACACUAUUGUUGAGGGGUCCGGCACUCAACACGUCCAGUAUUGUUUUUUA